rnacentral:tRNA from 4 species
GGGGGUGUAGCUCAGCUGGGAGAGCGCCUGCCUUGCACGCAGGAUGUCGCAGGUUCGAUUCCUGUCACCUCCACCA